UGGGGAAUUUUGGACAAUGGGCGAAAGCCUGAUCCAGCAAUGCCGCGUGUGUGAAGAAGGCCUUCGGGUUGUAAAGCACUUUUGUCCGGAAAGAAAUCCUUGGCUCUAAUACAGUCGGGGGAUGACGGUACCGGAAGAAUAAGCACCGGCUAACUACGUGCCAGCAGCCGCGGUAAUACGUAGGGUGCAAGCGUUAAUCGGAAUUACUGGGCGUAAAGCGUGCGCAGGCGGUUUGCUAAGACCGAUGUGAAAUCCCCGGGCUCAACCUGGGAACUGCAUUGGUGACUGGCAGGCUAGAGUAUGGCAGAGGGGGGUAGAAUUCCACGUGUAGCAGUGAAAAUGCGUAGAGAUGUGGAGGAAUACCGAUGGCGAAGGCAGCCCCCUGGGCAAGUACUGACGCUCAUGCACGAAAAGCGUGGGGAGCAAAACAGGAUUAGAUACCCUGGUAGUCCACGCCCUAAAACGAUGUCAACUAGUUGUUGGGGGAUUCAUUUCCUUAGUAAACGUAGCUAACGCGUGAAGUUGACCGCCUGGGGGAGUACGGUCGCAAGAUUAAAAACUU
rnacentral:rRNA from 1 species